CUAAUACCGCAUACGAUCUAUGGAUGAAAGCGGGGGAUCGCAAGACCUCGCGCGAUUGGAGCGGCCGAUAUCAGAUUAGGUAGUUGGUAGGGUAAAGGCCUACCAAGCCAACGAUCUGUAGCUGGUCUGAGAGGACGACCAGCCACACUGGAACUGAGACACGGUCCAGACUCCUACGGGAGGCAGCAGUGGGGAAUUUUGGACAAUGGGCGAAAGCCUGAUCCAGCCAUUCCGCGUGCAGGAUGAAGGCCCUCGGGUUGUAAACUGCUUUUGUACAGAACGAAAAGGUUUCUAUUAAUACUAGGAGCUCAUGACGGUACUGUAAGAAUAAGCACCGGCUAACUACGUGCCAGCAGCCGCGGUAAUACGUAGGGUGCAAGCGUUAAUCGGAAUUACUGGGCGUAAAGCGUGCGCAGGCGGUUAUAUAAGUCAGAUGUGAAAUCCCCGGGCUCAACCUGGGAACUGCAUUUGAGACUGUAUAGCUAGAGUACGGUAAAGGGGGAUGGAAUUCCGCGUGUAGCAGUGAAAUGCGUUA
rnacentral:rRNA from 1 species